GGGUUGUGAGGUUAAGCGACUAAGCGUACACGGUGGAUGCCCUGGCAGUCAGAGGCGAUGAAGGACGUGCUAAUCUGCGAUAAGCGUCGGUAAGGUGAUAUGAACCGUUAUAACCGGCGAUUUCCGAAUGGGGAAACCCAGUGUGAUUCGUCACACUAUCAUUAACUGAAUCCAUAGGUUAAUGAGGCGAACCGGGGGAACUGAAACAUCUAAGUACCCCGAGGAAAAGAAAUCAACCGAGAUUCCCCCAGUAGCGGCGAGCGAACGGGGAGGAGCCCAGAGCCUGAAUCAGUGUGUGUGUUAGUGGAAGCGUCUGGAAAGGCGCGCGAUACAGGGUGACAGCCCCGUACACAAAAAUGCACAUACUGUGAGCUCGAUGAGUAGGGCGGGACACGUGGUAUCCUGUCUGAAUAUGGGGGGACCAUCCUCCAAGGCUAAAUACUCCUGACUGACCGAUAGUGAACCAGUACCGUGAGGGAAAGGCGAAAAGAACCCCGGCGAGGGGAGUGAAAAAGAACCUGAAACCGUGUACGUACAAGCAGUGGGAGCACGCUUCGGCGUGUGACUGCGUACCUUUUGUAUAAUGGGUCAGCGACUUAUAUUCUGUAGCAAGGUUAACCGAAUAGGGGAGCCGAAGGGAAACCGAGUCUUAACUGGGCGUUAAGUUGCAGGGUAUAGACCCGAAACCCGGUGAUCUAGCCAUGGGCAGGUUGAAGGUUGGGUAACACUAACUGGAGGACCGAACCGACUAAUGUUGAAAAAUUAGCGGAUGACUUGUGGCUGGGGGUGAAAGGCCAAUCAAACCGGGAGAUAGCUGGUUCUCCCCGAAAGCUAUUUAGGUAGCGCCUCGUGAAUUCAUCUCCGGGGGUAGAGCACUGUUUCGGCAAGGGGGUCAUCCCGACUUACCAACCCGAUGCAAACUGCGAAUACCGGAGAAUGUUAUCACGGGAGACACACGGCGGGUGCUAACGUCCGUCGUGAAGAGGGAAACAACCCAGACCGCCAGCUAAGGUCCCAAAGUCAUGGUUAAGUGGGAAACGAUGUGGGAAGGCCCAGACAGCCAGGAUGUUGGCUUAGAAGCAGCCAUCAUUUAAAGAAAGCGUAAUAGCUCACUGGUCGAGUCGGCCUGCGCGGAAGAUGUAACGGGGCUAAACCAUGCACCGAAGCUGCGGCAGCGACACUAUGUGUUGUUGGGUAGGGGAGCGUUCUGUAAGCCUGUGAAGGUGUGCUGUGAGGCAUGCUGGAGGUAUCAGAAGUGCGAAUGCUGACAUAAGUAACGAUAAAGCGGGUGAAAAGCCCGCUCGCCGGAAGACCAAGGGUUCCUGUCCAACGUUAAUCGGGGCAGGGUGAGUCGACCCCUAAGGCGAGGCCGAAAGGCGUAGUCGAUGGGAAACAGGUUAAUAUUCCUGUACUUGGUGUUACUGCGAAGGGGGGACGGAGAAGGCUAUGUUGGCCGGGCGACGGUUGUCCCGGUUUAAGCGUGUAGGCUGGUUUUCCAGGCAAAUCCGGAAAACUAAGGCUGAGGCGUGAUGACGAGGCACUACGGUGCUGAAGCAACAAAUGCCCUGCUUCCAGGAAAAGCCUCUAAGCAUCAGGUAACAUCAAAUCGUACCCCAAACCGACACAGGUGGUCAGGUAGAGAAUACCAAGGCGCUUGAGAGAACUCGGGUGAAGGAACUAGGCAAAAUGGUGCCGUAACUUCGGGAGAAGGCACGCUGAUAUGUAGGUGAAGCGACUUGCUCGUGGAGCUGAAAUCAGUCGAAGAUACCAGCUGGCUGCAACUGUUUAUUAAAAACACAGCACUGUGCAAACACGAAAGUGGACGUAUACGGUGUGACGCCUGCCCGGUGCCGGAAGGUUAAUUGAUGGGGUUAGCGGUAACGCGAAGCUCUUGAUCGAAGCCCCGGUAAACGGCGGCCGUAACUAUAACGGUCCUAAGGUAGCGAAAUUCCUUGUCGGGUAAGUUCCGACCUGCACGAAUGGCGUAAUGAUGGCCAGGCUGUCUCCACCCGAGACUCAGUGAAAUUGAACUCGCUGUGAAGAUGCAGUGUACCCGCGGCAAGACGGAAAGACCCCGUGAACCUUUACUAUAGCUUGACACUGAACAUUGAGCCUUGAUGUGUAGGAUAGGUGGGAGGCUUUGAAGUGUGGACGCCAGUCUGCAUGGAGCCGACCUUGAAAUACCACCCUUUAAUGUUUGAUGUUCUAACGUUGACCCGUGAUCCGGGUUGCGGACAGUGUCUGGUGGGUAGUUUGACUGGGGCGGUCUCCUCCUAAAGAGUAACGGAGGAGCACGAAGGUUGGCUAAUCCUGGUCGGACAUCAGGAGGUUAGUGCAAUGGCAUAAGCCAGCUUGACUGCGAGCGUGACGGCGCGAGCAGGUGCGAAAGCAGGUCAUAGUGAUCCGGUGGUUCUGAAUGGAAGGGCCAUCGCUCAACGGAUAAAAGGUACUCCGGGGAUAACAGGCUGAUACCGCCCAAGAGUUCAUAUCGACGGCGGUGUUUGGCACCUCGAUGUCGGCUCAUCACAUCCUGGGGCUGAAGUAGGUCCCAAGGGUAUGGCUGUUCGCCAUUUAAAGUGGUACGCGAGCUGGGUUUAGAACGUCGUGAGACAGUUCGGUCCCUAUCUGCCGUGGGCGCUGGAGAACUGAGGGGGGCUGCUCCUAGUACGAGAGGACCGGAGUGGACGCAUCACUGGUGUUCGGGUUGUCAUGCCAAUGGCACUGCCCGGUAGCUAAAUGCGGAAGAGAUAAGUGCUGAAAGCAUCUAAGCACGAAACUUGCCCCGAGAUGAGUUCUCCCUGACUCCCUGAGAGUCCUGAAGGAACGUUGAAGACGACGACGUUGAUAGGCCGGGUGUGUAAGCGCAGCGAUGCGUUGAGCUAACCGGUACUAAUGAACCGUGAGGCUUAACCUUACAACGCCGAAGGUGUUU
rnacentral:rRNA from 1 species